rnacentral:rRNA from 1 species
CCUACGGGUGGCUGCAGUGGGGAAUAUUGGACAAUGGGCGAAAGCCUGAUCCAGCCAUGCCGCGUGUGUGAAGAAGGUCUUCGGAUUGUAAAGCACUUUAAGUUGGGAGGAAGGGCAGUAAGUUAAUACCUUGCUGUUUUGACGUUACCAACAGAAUAAGCACCGGCUAACUUCGUGCCAGCAGCCGCGGUAAUACGAAGGGUGCAAGCGUUAAUCGGAAUUACUGGGCGUAAAGCGCGCGUAGGUGGUUUUGUAAGUUGGAUGUGAAAGCCCCGGGCUCAACCUGGGAACUGCAUCCAAAACUGCAUGACUCGAGUACGGUAGAGGGUGGUGGAAUUUCCUGUGUAGCGGUGAAAUGCGUAGAUAUAGGAAGGAACACCAGUGGCGAAGGCGACCACCUGGACUGAUACUGACACUGAGGUGCGAAAGCGUGGGGAGCAAACAGGAUUAGAUACCCGAGUAGUC